UGAUGCCUCUUCCAGAAAAAAAACAAA
rnacentral:piRNA from 1 species